GUGCCUGUGGGAUCAGCUCGGCAGCGCGGCCGGGCCCGCUCCUCUUGCGCCUCCGCCGCCGUGAAGAUGGGAGCGGCUCUGGCGGGCCGGGCUCGCUCAGCUCACCGCCAUGAGGGGAGGAGCGGCUCCGGCUCCCUCGGCUCACCGCCGUGAGGGCGAGGAGCGGCUCCGGCUCCCUCGGCUCGCCGCCGUGAGGGCGAGGAGCGGCUCCGGCUCCCUCGGCUCGCCGCCGUGAGGGGAGGAGCGGCUCCGGCUCCCUCGGCUCGCCGCCGUGAGGGCGAGGAGCGGCUCUGGCGGGCCGGGCUCCCUCAGCUCACCGCCAUGAGGGCGAGGAGCGGCUCCGGCUCGCUCAGCUCGCCGCCGUGAGGGCGAGGAGCGGCUCCGGCUCCCUCGGCUCGCCGCCGUGAGGGCGAGGAGCGGCUCUGGCUCCCUCAGCUCUCCGCCAUGAGGGCGAGGAGCGGCUCUGGCGGGCCUAGUCCCCUCGCCAUGAGGGGCCGCCGCCGCCAUGAGCCCUUCAGUCGGAUGGUGGAUCGCGGCGGUCGGAGCCCGCCUGAAGGAGCGGCCCUGAGGGGCGUGUGACACCCCCGAGUUGUGCGGGACUGCCAAGGAGCUCUCCAGGAGGGCACCGGAGCCUGCGGAGAGGAGAUGUGAAGGGAUAACCUGCCCGUGAGACACGGGGAGAUCUCUGGAGCCACCGGGGUAAAUUGUUGAUGUGGGGCUUGCUGGAGCGAGCAGCAGGAGUGGUCAGAAGUAAAGCUGUCAAUGCUGCUUUGAAGAAUCCGUGUUUGAAAGGUAUUGGGAAGAUGGAAACCUGGAGCCCAUAGUUUAAACAGGGCAGCUGGAGAAGAAUUUGUUUUCAGAAUGUGGAUGUAGGAAUUGGAAACAUCAAAGGUGGCUUGGGGCAAGAUAUAACAAGAAUUAUGUGUUCAAUUAAUUGUUAAUAUUCUCUCAUUGCUUGUUGGAAAUACAAUUUUAAUAUGAUCUCAAAUAAAUGUAUUUAUAUUUAAGCUUACUCAGUUUGCUUUUCAUUGUCUUACAAGGCUGUUGGGUGCAGCAGGAUUUGAGAGUGGUAUUGAAUUCUUGUGGGACACUGGAGAGGCUGUAGUGAAGCACCAGCUCUCAUCCCUAGGCUGGGGGAAGUGAGCCCACAAAGGAAGGUUGGAGAAGGCUGAUGAGUAUGUAAAAUACAUCAGAACUGCUGGGGAGGGGCAGGAUGACCAUCAGGGAUUCAGACAAAAAUGGUGUUAAAAUGCAAAAGUUGGAACAAAAGGAGUGUUUUGCUCUCCAAGAUGAGAGUUGGAUUCCUUGCAAUCUUCUAGGACACCCUGUUUUUGUGAAAUAAUCCACAUUCCAUAAAUGUUCUGACACUGUUAGUUUAGUCAUGAGCACUUCUGCCACCUGAAUAUCCAGAGCUUUGAAUACACACUUUUUAUACUGUAUAUGGGAAUAUAUAAAAUAUAUUAAAAUGUUAAAAUACAACAAUUGAGGAAUAAAGGUUUUUCCUGGUUGAA